CGCACAACUUAGAUUAUUUAAGUUUAGAAUAUGAGAAACUAAGUUAUAUGUUUAGUUAUAUUUUUACUGAUUUUUAUAGAGUAAAGAUAGAAAUAAAACUUAGUAAAAUCAGUAAAAAUAUUCUUAGACUAAAGUUAAGUAGUUUAAGUUGUGUGCAAGUGGUAGGAGAGCGUUCUAUUUGCGUCGAAGGUAUACCGGUAAGGAGUGCUGGAGCGAAUAGAAGUGAGCAUGCAGGCAUGAGUAGCGAUAAUUAAUGUGAGAAUCAUUAACGCCGUAAACCCAAGGUUUCCUACGCGAUGCUCGUCAUCGUAGGGUUAGUCGGGUCCUAAGUCGAGUCCGAAAGGGGUAGACGAUGGCAAAUUGGUUAAUAUUCCAAUACCAACAUUAGUGUGCGAUGGAAGGACGCUUAGGGCUAAGGGGGCUAGCGGAUGGAAGUGCUAGUCUAAGGUCGUAGGAGGUUAUACAGGCAAAUCCGUAUAACAAUACUCCGAGAACUGAAAGGCUUUUUGAAGUCUUCGGAUGGAUAGAAGAACCCCUGAUGCCGUCGAGCCAAGAAAAGUUUCUAAGUUUAGCUAAUGUUGCCCGUACCGUAAACCGACACAGGUGGGUGGGAUGAGUAUUCUAAGGCGCGUGGAAGAACUCUCUUUAAGGAACUCUGCAAAAUAGCACCGUAUCUUCGGUAUAAGGUGUGGUUCGCUUCGUAUUAGGAUUUACUCCGAAAGCGAAGAAACUUACAACAAAGAGUCCCUCCCGACUGUUUACCAAAAACACAGCACUCUGCUAACUCGUAAGAGGAUGUAUAGGGUGUGACGCCUGCCCGGUGCUCGAAGGUUAAUUGAUGGGGUUAGCAUUAGCGAAGCUCUUGAUCGAAGCCCGAGUAAACGGCGGCCGUAACUAUAACGGUCCUAAGGUAGCGAAAUUCCUUGUCGGUUAAAUACCGACCUGCAUGAAUGGCGUAACGAGAUGGGAGCUGUCUCAAAGAGGGAUCCAGUGAAAUUGUAGUGGAGGUGAAAAUUCCUCCUACCCGCGGCAAGACGGAAAGACCCCGUGGACCUUUACUACAGCUUGACACUGCUAUUUGGAUAAGAAUGUGCAGGAUAGGUGGGAGGCUUUGAGUAUAUGACGCCAGUUGUAUAUGAGCCAUUGUUGAGAUACCACUCUUUCUUAUUUGGGUAGCUAACCAGCUUGAGUUAUCCUCAAGUGGGACAAUGUCUGGUGGGUAGUUUGACUGGGGCGGUCGCCUCCCAAAUAAUAACGGAGGCUUACAAAGGUUGGCUCAGAACGGUUGGAAAUCGUUCGUAGAGUAUAAAGGUAUAAGCCAGCUUAACUGCAAGACAUACAAGUCAAGCAGAGACGAAAGUCGGUCUUAGUGAUCCGGUGGUUCUGUGUGGAAGGGCCAUCGCUCAAAGGAUAAAAGGUACCCCGGGGAUAACAGGCUGAUCUCCCCCAAGAGCUCACAUCGACGGGGAGGUUUGGCACCUCGAUGUCGGCUCAUCGCAUCCUGGGGCUGGAGCAGGUCCCAAGGGUAUGGCUGUUCGCCAUUUAAAGCGGUACGCGAGCUGGGUUCAGAACGUCGUGAGACAGUUCGGUCCCUAUCUGCCGUGGGCGUAAGAAGAUUGAAGAGAUUUGACCCUAGUACGAGAGGACCGGGUUGAACAAACCACUGGUGUAGCUGUUGUUCUGCCAAGAGCAUCGCAGCGUAGCUAAGUUUGGAAAGGAUAAACGCUGAAAGCAUCUAAGCGUGAAGCCAACUCUAAGAUGAAUCUUCUCUAAGCUCUCUAGAAGACUACUAGUUUGAUAGGCUGGGUGUGUAAUGGAUGAAAGUCCUUUAGCUGACCAGUACUAAUAGAGCGUUUGGCUUAUCUUU
rnacentral:rRNA from 1 species